rnacentral:misc_RNA from 1 species
AACGCACAUUGCACUCUGUUUGCGCAGAGUAUGCCUGUUUGAGAAUCUUUAGUAUUUCUACAUUUCAGUAAUGGGAUGUGAGAUGGUUUGUCGUCUGGUAAAACGGAUGUGAACUGAAAGAGAUAUCUCUGUGUUUGUGACGCAGCAAAGUUUGACUGUCUUUGGACUCAAUACUAUGUGAGCGUUGCAUAAUGCAUGGGGAAACCACAUAUUUUGAGUGCGCGAGCACUGAACAAUGGUCUCAAAUCAGGUAGGAAGACCCGCUGAACUUAA